AGACCUCCAAAAUCUGGCUUUGGAGUCAGCUGUGAUACUGGGAGGAGAGGCAGGCCCCAGGGUGGGGCAGUCCAGGUAGCCUGAAAGGGAAGCAAGUUCCCAGCACACAGCUGAAGAAACACUCCUGGGGAUUCACCUGGUAGCAAAACCUCCCCCUUGGCUUCCUCCUGUUGUUCACACAGCAGACCCAAAGUUCCAGGGGAUCCAAGGCAUUGAAAGAGAGAGAGACGGAGACAGAGAGAAGCUAAGGACCCCUUGAUGCUCAGCAAUACAUGGCUCUGCUCUCAAGUCACCAGAACCCUGGAAACUACAGGCUGUCUUUCACCAGACAGCACACAUCCCCAGUGAACAGAUGACCUUUUUCUUUACCGCAAAUGCUGGACAUGCUCCUCACCAUAGCCUUUGGUAGAGACCCUUUCUUUGAACCAUUUUGCCUGGCUUUAGGGUCUUCACUGCAGGGUGGAAUUGUGAGGUCCCUAAGGCCCCUGCGCCACACUACAAGAACUGAUCUGGGGUUUAAGUCCUAGUACACUUUUCUCCAACAUACUGAACAUAACUCUCCUGCCCCAGGAUUGUGGGCAGGGCAUUGCUGUCCACCCUGGAGGGUUGUAAGGGCAGUAGACAGAGCAAGGGUCUCACCAGUCAACCGUCUUGUGGAGUGUUUGGAA
rnacentral:lncRNA from 1 species